rnacentral:rRNA from 1 species
CCUACGGGAGGCAGCAGUGAGGAAUAUUGGUCAAUGGACGAGAGUCUGAAUCAGCCAAGUAGCGUGAAGGAUGACUGCCCUAUGGGCUGUAAACUUCUUUUAUAAAGGAAUAAAACGAGCCACGUGUGCCUUUUUGCAUGUACUUUAUGAAUAAGGAUCGGCUAACUCCGUGCCAGCAGCCGCGGUAAUACGGAGGAUCCGAGCGUUAUCCGGAUUUAUUGGGUUUAAGGGGAGCGUAGAUGGGUUGUUAAGUCAGUUGUGAAAGUUUGCGGCUCAACCGUAAAAUUGCAAUUGAUACUGGCAGUCUUGAGUACAGUUGAGGUAGGCGGAAUUCGUGGUGUAGCGGUGAAAUGCUUAGAUAUCACGAAGAACCCCGAUUGCGAAGGCAGCUUACUAAACUGUGACUGACAUUGAGGCUCGAAAGUGUGGGUAUCAAACAGGAUUAGAUACCCCAGUAGUC